AAAGUCGUAACAAGGUCUCCGUUGGUGAACCAGCGGAGGGAUCAUUAUAGAGUCUAAACAACUCCCAAACCCCUGUGAACAUACCACCGUUGCUUCGGCGGGUACGCCCCGGGCGCCAUCGCGUGCCCCGGAACCAGGCGCCCGCCGGGGGACUUCAAACUCUUGUUUUACCAUGUAUCGUCUGAGUGGAUUAUUAAAUAAAUCAAAACUUUCAACAACGGAUCUCUUGGCUCUG
rnacentral:misc_RNA from 1 species